UACGAAGGGGGCUAGCGUUGUUCGGAUUUACUGGGCGUAAAGCGCACGUAGGCGGAUCUUUAAGUCAGGGGUGAAAUCCCGAGGCUCAACCUCGGAACUGCCUUUGAUACUGGAGAUCUUGAGUCCGGAAGAGGUGAGUGGAACUGCGAGUGUAGAGGUGAAAUUCGUAGAUAUUCGCAAGAACACCAGUGGCGAAGGCGGCUCACUGGUCCGGUACUGACGCUGAGGUGCGAAAGCGUGGGGAGCGAACAGG
rnacentral:rRNA from 1 species